AGGUUUCUCCCUCAAGAUGUUCGGGAUUGUGCAGUUGAAGAAAAUCCUGCCAGAAGAAGCAAAAGGUUUGGCACUGGCUCAAAGAAAGUUGCUUGACAUGUAGAAUCUCCUGACCCGCGGAUGACACCAGCAGGACGUCCACAGAGAGGACUAAAGGCCAGCACCCCACAACAGCCACACAGCAGCUCAAGCCAGUGCUCAAAACAUGGCAACAGCUUCAAAACUUACUUAAUACGAC